rfam:Brachypodium distachyon strain Bd21 chromosome 2, whole genome shotgun sequence.
UUAAUACUCCCUCCGUCCAACAAAGGAUGUCUCAACUUUAAACAAAUUUGAAUGCAUCUAUACACUAAGUCAUGUCUAGAUACAUUCAAAUUUUGACAAAUUUGAGACAUCUUUUGUUGGACGGAGGGAGUAUUAC